rnacentral:RNase_P_RNA from 1 species
CGGGCCGACCGGGUGACCGCGUGAUCCGACCUGGCAACAGGGCGGGUCCCGAGGAAAGUCCGGGCUCCACAGAGCAGGGUGGUGGGUAACACCCACCCGGAGCGAUCCGCGGGAAAGUGCCACAGAGAACAGACCGCCUCACCUUCCGAGGAGAGGUAAGGGUGAAACGGUGGAGUAAGAGCCCACCAGCGCCCCGGGUGACCGGGGCGGCUAGGCAAACCCCACCCGGAGCAAGGCCAGACAGUGUGCGAUCGAGGGCUGCUCGCCCGAGUGCACGGGUAGGCCGCUGGAGGCCGCCGGCAACGGCGGUCGUAGAUGGAUGGUCACCGAUCACAAAACCCGGCUUACAGGUCGGCCCGUCCC